UCAAGGCCAUGGAAGAAAAUAUUAAAACAGGACACCAAACCAUUUUUCCCCUUCCCACUGAGUGUUUAUUUUAUAGCUUUUUCAUCAGGUAAUCAACUGAAACACUUGAACAACAGAGAGCUGGCAGAAUGUUAAGGAAAAGGAGUGAUUAUCUCUCCAACAGAUGUGACAAAAUGGUUUAACUUGGAAACAGUACUGUGUAAAUGAAUCAAGUGAACAGCAGAGGGGGAGAAAGGAGAAAGCAGAGACAGAGGAAGGAGCAAGCAUCUUCCAACAUGGAUCGUGAGGGGGGAAAAGGCACUCUUUUUCAGCUGUCUUGUGUAUUUAUAAAGUGAAAGUCAAAAUAUACAAUCCAUGUUUGCCAAAAUUACAUUUGACAUUGCUUUAGAGAUGCUCACACACCUAAGUCUCAGUAGAAAGCUCUAGAAGCUGUCUGAAAAAUCAGACAGCACCAGUGUGUCUAAACCAUAGGCUUACCAGCAAUGGGUUUUAAAAGAGAUCAUCACCAUCAGGGUCCUUUUUAUAAAUAGUACUGCAAAGGUCACAAAGCUGCAUGAACUUAAAUUACAGGAUAAAUCUGACAAACUGAUUGCCCCUUUCUAUCUUUACAAUUCCCUCUCCAGUAAAUCAGAAAGCAAGCUCCACUCCAGAGGAGUUGAAUUGGCAGUGCAUCUCAAACGGGGUGCUUUUCCCCUCCAAAGGCUGCCUGAGCAGCAGGUUAGUUGGCAUCAUCCAGCAGCUUUGCAUAGGGUAAAUGGAUGCAAAAAUUUAACAGCAAUUGCCUUACUUCCUCUCAAAGCAAACAGCACUAACUUAUGAAGAGGCAAAUUUCAUCUCAUGAAGUAGAAGCACCUGGACCUCUUAAAAGACAAACUUCAUAAAAGGUUACAAUACCGGGUGCCUCUCAUAAUAAAGGAUUUUAGGGCCAUAGGUGUGUUUGAGAAUGAUCAAUGGGAAAAACCAGAGAGAUGGUUUACACAGAUGUUCUCUAUGUAGAAUUUGAAUAGCAAUUAAAAUACCAGCUAUGCAUUUGGGAACCAGCCUUUAGUUCAAUUCUCUAGUGCUUUUAGAAUUUUUAUUUCAUUUUAUUAGAAAAGGAGAAUCAUUGUCUACAAACUAUUUUCUUUCUAACUAUGCAAAUACAAUGAGCAAAUCACCUGCAAUAUCAAAAUACUGUUUGUAAAUCACAGAUGCGACUCACAAUUUUAGGAAUCUCUGAUAGGACAUAUAUUGAGAAAGAGCAACAGUGGACUUCAAAUUAUAGGCAUUAACUGAAUUUUAAGAAUAGAAAAUAAAAUGCAAAGUUUAAAAGUCAGUACGUUUUUCUCAGAUUUUCAGUCAUUUAAAUCCAAUCAUCAGGAAUUCAGAAGCACCCAAUAUGUUCAAAGUUGCACAAAUGUGUAUGGAUGAUAGAAAAGUAAUCCCCAUGCAAUACUUUAUGUGUUGCUGUUAGUAUAUUUAAGUGAUACUUUACAGAUUAAAGCUGGGUAAAACCAAAAUAUGUCCUUUCCAUUACAUUUUAAAAGUCACAAUAAUUUAUCAAUAGUUGCCAUUUCACAGCAAUUAGAAAACAGGAGUUGAUACAAGUUGAACAAAACAGUACUUUUCCCUCUUUUAGGAAAUAAACAUAUAUAUAUAUAUACACACAUACACACAUAACAUUAUCUUUAAAAUUCAAAGUGGUUAAUUUGCUAUUGUAUUAUAUAAAAAAAAAUUUUCCCCUAUUUUCAAAAUACUGAAAAAAGCGCAGAGGCUGAAAAAGAAAAAUCACACUUGCCACUUUAAAAAAAUACAUUAUCAUCUCAGUGGUUCUGUUUAUUUGAUUAUAAAGUUAGGUAUUAUAAGGACUCUGCACUUGUCAGGCUCCUAGGACUAUAUUAGACCACAUGGGAUUAAACCUAACCCUUUCUCAGUCUCCAGGAAGGAUACUUCUCACCCACCCUGAAAGAUGAUAGCAUAAAUGCCCCUAUUCUGAACAGCUAAACUGGGAAAGAAAACCUGCCCACCUGGAAGCAAUCCAAGUUAUAAAAGUUUAUGAAUCUGUGGGAGAGACCGCCUGGAUCAGAAAGCCAUUCUUUGGAUAUAAGUUAGGAGCUGUUUUGGAAGUAUAUAAACUCUUUUAGGCCAGUAGAGUACAGAUUCAAAAGUGAUUUCUCCAUAAAUAAUAACCUGCUACAGGGGUUGGCAAAGUAAAACCCAUGGUCCAUAUUUGGCCUGUCAGCUGUUUGAGCAAUAAAGUUUUAUUGGGACAGAGCCAUAACUCAUCACUUAUGUGUUGUCUGCUUUUAUACUAAAAUGGCAGAGUUGAGUAGUUGUGAUGGAGACCUAUGGCUUGCAAAGUCUGAAAUUGUAUGUACUCUCUGAAUCUUUUGACCCUAGAUCUAUGUGCUACUCUAGUUACCUAAAAGAGCUGAUGCGCCUUAAGAUUUUAGCUGGACUCAGAGAAUAACCUGCAUCCUAGGGUUCCUUCGCAGAUAAAUGUCAGAUGCCCCACCCCAAGGUGGUGCUUUACUUUUGGGCGAGAAAACCAUUUGUAUAUAUUUUCAACAAAUGCCUGCAAAAGGUAUUAAAUACACAAAAAAGAAAGUCAAAUAAGAAAAGCAGGCUGUUGAUAUACUUUUAAUAUUGUCCUAUUAUUAGGGGGGAAAGGGUGUUACAAUGACUUUUCCUGUCAACUUCUUUUAGCUUUUCUUUAAAUUUGUCCAAAAUGUCUUUUGAUAAGAUGCAUUCUCUCCUCCUUCCAUACAAUCAACAACCUUUAAAGCAACCUCUCUGAAAUGCCUACAUAGUCUGGUGAGGCCUUAUUUGGGGAUAUUUAAACUAAACAUAUUAAAGGUUACCCUUUUAGAAAAUGUUUCUAAAAUUCUUUAUUUUUGCUACUCUAAGAAGUGGAAGAAAUAAAGAAUGCACAGGGAAAUAAAAUUCUGCAACAUAUACCUUAAAAACCAGAGGUAUAAAAUAGCUACCAUUUCUGAAUGGUAAUGUAAAAUAAAAACAGAAAAGUCUUCCACAUUUGAAGAGCAAAUUUUCCUCUGCCCUGAGUCAGCUAAUGAAAUCUUUUUGCAAACAGGGAACAACCUCCUGAACUAAAGCAGCUGCUCGUGAAUCUGUAAGAGUUCACAGGUGUUUCCAUUUUCAAUAGUUGUUGAAACAGGGAAGAUAAAACACUGAGAAGAUAUUUAUUAAACACAAAUAUAUAUCAAGAUGAACUGCUUUUUUCAACCAGCUUAUAAGUGAACUUUUCUCUUUGUUAAAAAAUGAAUGAUAUGAAACUAUAUGUUAAAGAUGUUUCCAUAAUACCUUACAUUUAUAUCGCGCAUUACAAUUUUCAAAGUGCUUUCACAUGCCAUCUCAUUUAAUCCUCACAACACCCCUGUGAGGUAGGUACAGCAGGUAUUAUAUCCUCAUUUCAAGAUGAGGAAACUGAGGCAGAGAGAGGUUAAGUGACUUGCCCAAGGUCACACAGCUGAUCAGUGGCAGAGCCAAGUCAAGAAAUCAAGAUUUCCGACUCCUUGUCCAGUACUCUUUCCACUACAACUACUGCCCCCGAUUAUGAAUAAUGUACUUCGUAUAAAAAUUGAAAGGUUAUUGAAGUUCAUUUCAGUGAUGUCUUAACAGUAAAGUUAAAUGAGAAAUAUAAGAACAGUAGAUCUGAUGGUUUUACUUGACGUAAUAAAAUUGGUGCAAAAUCACUUGUCUAAUUACUUAUAACCUUUUGGUCCAAAUACAUAAAAUAUGCAAUAUUUACAGCAUUUUCCUUUUUUUUUUUUGUAAAUGCAAUGCUUUAAAACACAUUAUAAAGCACCUUAGUAAAAAUAGUCUACAAGGAAAAGUACAGAAGAAGUAGGAAAAUCCUACCCAUACCACAGCUCACUAAUGGAGAUAUAAUAUGGAGUCACCGAUAUCUCAGUUUACAGCUUUACAAAUAACCCGUGGAGAAACAAACACUAAAUUUACUUUUUUGAUAUUAAUAUGUGGAAGCCUUAACUAAAACUUUAGGCAGGGUGGAUCCCGGUGGUGGAGAGAGCAGCAUGGGGCGGAGUGCCCAGGGCUGUGCUUCUGGGGCCCCGGCUAGCGUGCCCCGGGCGCAGCGCUCACCCUGCCAGUCCCACCACCCACCCCCUGCGGCCGCAGCCACCAGCAUGCUACACCCACUGCUGCUUGCCUGGCUCUGCCUGGCUGGCUGGCUUGGGGCCUCCCACGGCUGCCAGCUGCCCUCUGAGGGGAGACCCCUGAGUGAGGGCUGCCACCCCAAGCAGGCUGAGAUCAUUGUGUACACCAAGGUGCUGGCGCUGUACCAGGACGGGCAUGGCCUGUGCAGCUACCUGCCUGCCCUGGCAGUAUGCGGGGCUCCUCUACGGGGCCCAGAUCAAGAAGCUGUGCAACCAGAGUGGGGCAGCAUGCUCCAGGCUCAAGCUCACUGGCCAGGGCUACUUCUCCUGUCACUCCCACACUGUGGUCCAGGAGUACUCCUAUUUCUUCUUCCUUAGAACAGAUGAGGAAUAGCCUCUAGCCUCAUGGAGUCAGCUUCCAAGAUACCAUCUUUCCUGACACUCAAGAGAACAGAAGGAUGUUUUCCAGCCUUCAAAUUGUUUGCAAGGGCAGCAGCUGGUGACCUUCUCCAAUGACUGGGAGGUCCAAGAAGACACCAGGCCCAGGUACCACAUCCGAAAGAAGGACUCUGGAAAGAUCCACAAAGCUGCCAGCAUGGUAAACAUAGCCAAAGUGCAGCAUAUUCUCUUGCUUGGAAAUAAUGGCAUGAACAGUGACAAGAUGAACAGGACUGCCCUCCACUUGGCCUGUGUCAAUGGUCGUUCAGCAGGGAUAACUCUCCUCCUGGAGAGAAAAUACCUUCCUAACUUCUGUGACCAUGAAAAGAGGACAGUGCUGAUGAAGGCUGUAGAAUGUCAAGCAGAGGAGUUUGCAACUACUCUGCUGGAACACGGUGCCCACCCAAACGUCACCAACGUCAGUAGCAGCACUGCUCUCCACUUAUGCUGCCUUCUGCCAGAAUGUAUCCCUUGCAGCAGAGCUGCUUCCAUACAACACCAAUAACAGAAGCCAGGAACAAGGAUGACCUCACACCACUGUUACUUACUAUAAGUGAAAGCAAACAGCAAAUGGUGGAGUUUUUAGUAAAGAAAGCAGCAAAUACACAUAUGGUUGAUAAAAUGAAAAGAACAGCCCUCAUGCUUGCUGUCAAUUAUGAGUCAAAUGCAGUCAGUCUUUUUCAGCAAGGUAUUUACAUCUUUUCUCAAGAUGUCUUUGGAUGGACUGCUGAAGAAUGUGCUGUUGUUAGUGGUGUUAUGAUUCACCAACUGAUGACUGACUAUAAAGAAAAGAGACACCUCCCCAAAAUAGCAACUCAGUGGAUAAGAAUGCUGAGGAAGACUCUUUAAGCAGGUUUUUCAAUAAUCAAACCUGGUGUUGAUUUAUGGCCUACAUCAGACAACAAAGUGUUAAGAUUUUAAAACCAAGGUUGAAGAAGAAAAGCAGCAGAACAAAAGUAGUGAAAUGCAAGUAUCCAACAACAUAUGUGAUGCUGCUAAAGACUGGAUUCAUUCAGCAGAGAAAGAGUAGAAAA